GCUUAUCAACCCCCCCAUACAAGCUAUUUUACACCAAGGACAAGGUUUAGCGAAGGCGACCUCACCACGGUCAGAUUGGAGCUAAGCGAACACACCCAUCACACCAUAGUAUCAUUCUAUCUGGCUCACGACUACGAAGGGCCACUACCAAACACCACUACAC